rnacentral:rRNA from 1 species
UACAGAGGGUGCAAGCGUUGUUCGGAAUCAUUGGGCGUAAAGCGCACGUAGGCGGUCUGCUAAGUCGGAUGUGAAAGCCCCAGGCUCAACCUGGGAAGUGCAUUCGAAACUGGUGGACUUGAAUGUCGGAGAGGGUGGUGGAAUUCCGAGUGUAGAGGUGAAAUUCGUAGAUAUUCGGAGGAACACCAGUGGCGAAGGCGACCACCUGGACGAACAUUGACGCUGAGGUGCGAAAGCGUGGGGAGCAAACAGG